UCUUUCUACUAAUCACUCGUUCACGCUCAUAUGUCUUCCCGUUCAAAAGAUAAUGCCGAAAAAGUGAAAUAACGUUUUUUAAAGUUAUCACGCCCUGAUUGUGACACAUAUGAGCAUGGCUGGCAGUACUGGAAGCCUACAUUAAGAUGUCUCUCCAUGAUUUCCUAGUCCAAAGUGUUUAGGCAAAAGAAAAGGGGGCAGUGGACUUUCUUCUUCUAGCAUGUUGCUAUACUCAUGUCUUGAGUGCUGUAUGUUCAAAGGUGAAGGAGUGGGUGGGUGCCUUUGAAGAAGGAAAAAAGUAUUCCCAAGCACGCUGCUUUGUCCGAAUGGUCAUGGCUACAAUUGCCAGAACAACGGAGAUCACAGAAGCAACUGAGAUUUUCCAGCGCUUUGCUCAAGUGGUGAAGUCUCCGAAAAAGUGUGAAGAUGUUGUGAAUGCGCUGGAUUGGCUUGCUGUCAGGUAAUUUGUGUUGUUCACUUCACUAAGAAGUAAAUGUUGAACUUCAUUAAAGUGUGUGUAAUAUUAAAAGUUAAGCAACAUAAGUUUUUAGAUCUUAAAAUGGUAUUUACAAUUAAAAAUUAGUUGGGCAUCUAGUCAAGGGAUUCUUCUCAAAAUAUGUUAUUGCAGAUUUUUUUAUUCCAUUCUCGCGGAAUCAUAUGUGCACUUUCCUGUAAAAGAAUGGAAAACAACAUUAUAUAUGAUGAGGAUGAAGCAGAUGAAUUUCUGCGACAUGAAUUAUCCUCUGUACCCGAGGAGAGUACUCCACUGGACGACCGAUUUUAAAACAACAGAUACCCUCAGUACCAAGACAGUCCAUUUUCCCAAAUGUUCUCAGAUGCUGGCAAUUCUGUCACAUUAUCCAAAGGGGACUGACCUACCGGACCAUUAUCAAUUUUACAUUCCAAAAGUUGUUGAUUACCUUCUAAGAUACCUUCAGUCACUUGUCAUAACUCAAGGAGAAAAUCCCCUCACAAAUUCUGCUGUUGAGUUAAGAUUAAAAUUAUUGAAAAAAGAGGAUCUCAACUCCGAAAAACAUGUAAAAGCUUCUAGAUACAUCAGGCAGUCUAUUGAGAACACAGAAGCAAGGAUCCUUGAAUAUUAUUACGAAGCAAACUUCAAAAGGAUCAGAAGGAGAGCUCAAGGUCCUGCUGUACAUCUAAUCAGAAAGAAACGACCUAGAGAAACGUGGAAGAAAAUUUUGAGAGCGAAAGAACUAUAAGGAGGGUUUCAUUUAAAGCGUGAGGCCAAAAUCUAUUCUGAUAAGCUCCGUCUACGCUCAGCACAAAUGAGGAAGAAGAUGUGAAUAAUAUUUUUUGCAGUACAAUAAAAUCUGUGAAGAAGUCCUAACCAGGACAGUUUGACCCCACUCAAAAGGCCGAAAGCUCGAUGGAGCAGGACAAAGGCCAUGGAAGACAUUUCGCUGCAUGCCUCAAGCACAAUUAUGACCCUUCCUGAUGCGGAAGGGACCUUCGGAAACAAUGAUGGGAUUUUAAAUGACAACCUUGAGAAUAUUCGACCGACAGAAGGGUUUGACACCACACAGCAGGCCGUGGAGGAUUUUAGUACCAUGACCCUUACUGAGGGCAUGCUUUCGGUGCAGUAACUAAAACUUUCUGUAUUAGGUACAGAGCAUUUUUACGUAAGUACAUGGCAUUUAAAUAUCUGUUAUUGGCUGAGGGACUAGUGAAACCUAUUAUGCCACUGACUGAAAAUGCUUUAUUCUGUUUGUGUGUUUGUUUCUUUGUUUGUCUGUUCGCACGAUAACUCAAGAACGAACUAAGACAGAUUUUGACGACUCUUAAAUGUUUUGGCCUACUGGUCACGGGAUUGAGUGGAGGGUUGCACCUAAACCUAAGAACGGCUCGCACGUCGACACCAGACAGGUAUAUGUAAGUUCAGAUUAACUUGACUUUUUAAAGCGGAGGGAAUUAGAGUUGAGUAAUAAGGUCACGGAUCGACGCGUCCGUGCAACAAUAUCCUAUCUGUUUCGCUGCCCCGAAAGACUAGUCUAUCUGUUUCGCUGCCCCAAAAGACUAGCCUGUUUCGCUGCCCCGAAAGACUAGCCUAUCUGUUUUUCGGCGCUCUCUUCAGGGCUGUCUUCUCUUUAUUGCGAGUUUGCCAAUAUUAACAAUAGGAAAGAAAUAAAUACUGCUGCGUGUACCUUGAAGAUCAAGGUACAAAUGGCAAUUUUAAUUUUAUUUCUACCGUUAAUAUUAGCAAACCCACAAUGAAAAGAAGACAGCGCUGCAGAGAGCGCCGAAAAACAGAUAGGCUAGUCUUUCGGGGCAGCGAAACAGACAGGCUAGUCUUUUGGGGCAGAGAAACAAAUAGGCUAGUCUUUCGGGGCAGCGAAACAGGUAGGCUAGUCUUUUGGGGCAGAGAAACAAAUAGGCUAGUCUUUCGGGGCAGCGAAACAGAUAGGAUAUUGUUGCACGGACGCGUCGGGAUGAACAACUCAGUCCUGGAGCUAACUGCAGGCUUGACCCACCUACCCCAACUUAUGGAGUAAACACACCGCGUCGUUCUAACCAUGAUGGUGACCAUGCCAGUGGUGUCAAGCAGGAUGUUUCUUCACCAGGUAUUUGUGGGAGAGCAGCUCUGCCGCAGACACUAGUACUGGAUAUGUUCUCCAAUUGAUGUCAAGAGGAUUUAUAUCUGUUUCGUGCACUGUGACAGCAAGAGCGAAUGACAACUAGAGCAAGGUUGAUUCUUCUGUGGCGUGUCGUC